rnacentral:rRNA from 1 species
CCCUACGGGGUGCAGCAGGCGCGAAAACUUCGCAAUGCGGGAAACCGUGACGAGGGAAUUCCGAGUGCUCAUACAAUGUAUGGGCUUUUCUUAUGUGUAAAAAGCAUGAGGAAUAAGGGCUGGGUAAGACCGGUGCCAGCCGCCGCGGUAAUACCGGCAGCUCUAGUGGUAGCCACUUUUAUUGGGCCUAAAGCGUCCGUAGCCGGUCAGGUAAAUCCUUGGGUAAAUCGUACAGCUUAACUGUGCGGCUUCCGAGGAGACUGCUUGACUUGGGACCGGGAGAGGUUGGAGGUACUCCUGGGGUAGGGGCGAAAUCCUGUAAUCCUAGGUGGACCACCGGUGGCGAAGGCGUCCAACCAGAACGGCUCCGACGGUGAGGGACGAAGGCUAGGGGCGCAAACCGGAUUAGAUACCCGGGUAGUCCUAGCUGUAAACGCUGCAGACUUGGUGUUGGAGAUCCCACGAGGGUGUCCAGUGCCGGAGAGAAGUUGUUAAGUUUGCCGCCUGGGAAGUAUGGCCGCAAGGCUGAAACUUAAAGGAAUUGGCGGGGGAGCAC